rnacentral:lncRNA from 1 species
AUUGUAAGCAUCACUUAGGGGCUUGUAAGAAAGCUUAGGUGCUUUCUUACAAGUAUCUGGCACCUUGGUGCUCCUCCAUGGGGCUUCUCUACACGGAGAGCUUGGACUUCCUCGAAGCAUAGCAUUCUCAGAGUACUGGACUUCUUCCAUGGCAGCUGGCUGCCAAGAUGGAGAAAACAGAUGCUGCCAGAUUCUCAGCCCCACCCCAGACCUACAGAAUCAGACUCUGCUUCCUAACAGUAUGCCCUGAUGGUUUAUUAUAUGCAGAUUAAAGCUUGAGAAGCUCAAAAUUUCUUCAAGCCUCAGGAUAUGGUAACACACAAUUCUACAGCAGCCAUAUCUCUAACAUUAGCUGUCUGCUAUAUAACAAACGGCCUGAAAAUUUACUGUCUUGAAACACUAAUGACUUAUUUUUCACAAUUUUGUAGGUUGACUUGGCUUAGUUGGUGGGUUCUUCUGCCUUCACUAGGCUGAAUUCAUGGGCUGGACUGCCAAGGUUUCACUCUUGUAUCUGGCGCCUUGGUGCUCCUCCAUGGGGCUUCUCUACGAGGAGAGCUUGGACUUCCUCAAAACAGCAUUCUCAGAGAACUGGACUUCUUCCAUGGCAGCUGGCUGCCAAAGAUGGAGAAAACAGAUGCUGCCGAUUCUAUUAAGGCCUGGCUUGAAAGUCCUAGAACAGCACUUCUGCUGCAUUCUACUUAUUAGUCAAAACAAACCACAAGGCCAAUUAGAUUUGAGGAGAGGAAAAAUGGUUUCCACCUCUCGAUAGGUGAAGUACCAUGCAUAUGCAAGGCAAGGAAUUGGUAAUGGCCGUCUUUGGAGACUAUCUACCAUACUCUCUACCCCCUCUUGAGUGAUAUUAGAUGCUGUGCAUGAUCCCUUCUUAAACUCUAAGUACUUGAAAAAUGCUUUAAUAUGUGUCCCAGACUGGCUCCUCCUCCAAGGUAAACAGGAACUUCAACCCACUUUACAAAGGAAAGGGUCCUGACCCAAAAUCCAGAUUGGUCUGAAUUAGGUCUGGUCUGCAUCCUCUCAUGAGACAGUUCUGGACACAGAAGAGUGGCUUCAACAUGCAAAAGGAGAAGAUGCAAAAAGAAGAAAGUGGAAAACAAUGCGUCAAUUCCCCUCAUGCCUAUAUGUCCAGUUUAAAGG